rnacentral:rRNA from 1 species
GUAGGGAAUAUUGGACAAUGGGGGCAACCCUGAUCCAGCGACGCCGCGUGAGUGUUGAAGGCCUUCGGGUCGUAAAGCUCUGUUGCAGGGGAAGAACACAAUGACGGUACCCUGCUAGAAAGGAUCGGCUAACUUCGUGCCAGCAGCCGCGGUAAGACGAGGGAUCCUAGCGUUGUUCGGAAUUAUUGGGCGUAAAGCGGGUGCAGGUGGCUUGGUAAGUCAGAUGUGAAAGCCUGGGGCUUAACCCCAGAAGUGCAUUUGAUACUGCUGAGCUUGAGUGCUGGAGAGGCUAUUAGAAUUCCUGGUGUAGUGGUGAAAUACGUAGAUAUCAGGAGGAAUACCGGAGGCGAAGGCGGAUAGCUGGCCAGACACUGACACUCAGACCCGAAAGCGUGGGGAUCAAACAGGAUUAGAUACCCGGGUAGUCC